rnacentral:rRNA from 1 species
AUUGAACGCUAGCGGGGUGCCUUACACAUGCAAGUCGAACGGAGUGGCGAGCGGGUGGGUAAUGUAUCGGAGGGUGCCCAGUAGCGGGGGAUAACUACGCGAAAGCGUAGCUAAUACCGCAUCCGAUUGGCGCGGCCGAGAUCGGAUUAGCUAGUUGGUGGGGUAACGGCUCACCAAGGCGACGAUCCGUAGCCGGUUUGAGAGGGCGACCAGCCACACUGGGACUGAGACACGGCCCAGACUCCUACGGGAGGCAGCAGUGGGGAAUUUUUGACAAUGGGGGAAAGCCUGACCCAGCCACCCCGCGUGAGGGAUGAAGGCCUUCGGGUCGUAAAGCACUUUUGGUAGGGAAGCGGUACCUACACAAUAAGCACCGGCUAACUACGUGCCAGCAGCCGCGGUAAUAC